AACGUAGGUGGCGAGCGUUAUCCGGAUUCAUUGGGCGUAAAGAGCUUGUAGGUGGCGGCGUAAGUUGGACGUGAAAUCGCCCGGCUCAACCGGGCGGGGUCGUUCAAUACUGCGCGGCUGGAGGAGGUCAGAGGGAAGUGGAAUUCCUGGUGUAGCAGUGAAAUGCGUAGAUAUCAGGAGGAACACCCGUGGCGAAGGCGGCUUCCUCGGGGCCGAUCCUGACACUGAGAAGCGAAAGCUAGGGGAGCGAACGGG
rnacentral:rRNA from 1 species